GGAGUUGUGCCUGAAUUCUUAGGGGUCACUUUGAUAGAGUGAAUUAUGAGGGUUAAAGUCCCUCCACCUCCU
rnacentral:tRNA from 1 species